GGUGUGCAUCAGGUGGGGAGCAGGGUGGGCAUCAGCUGCUUGGGCACAGGUGGAGGCUGGUAGUUUCAUCCUCAAAAAGAAAACAGACCACCACCAGGCUUUUUUUGCCCCAGUUGCUGCUGUGCCUGAGCUGCACUGGUGUCUGUGCCCUCUGGAGAGCUGGAUAGGAGCUCUGGAGGCAGCACAGUGUCCAGGCAGGCACUGCUGGGGACAAGGCUCCCACCCCAAUGCUGAGCAGUUCAGGGAGGUUCUGGGACAUCCCAAAUCCCAGCUGGAGUGUGGAAUCCCCCUGGGUGGUGGUCCCCAGGGAGCAGGUGUGGGCUGGGCUGCCUGUCUGUCCCUGAUCCUGGAGCAGAGGAUUUGCCUUUCCUGGAAUGCCAGCGCUGUCUGUUGGAGAAACUCUGCGAUUAGGAGAGCAAAAGGGCAGGGCCUGAUUACUUCACAGGCCGAGCAGGGCUGUAAGCUCAUUAAGGGGCUUGGCCUGUGCCUGCCCGGGGAGGCACAGCUCAGUGCUGCUGCUGGAGGUGCUGGAGUGCUGCUGGCAGAGCCCCCCAGCCCUGGCCAUGCUGGGCACCCUGAUGACAGCGCUGUUCUUCGUGGUGAGGGUGGUCAGGCAGGUGAGUCCUCCCAGAGGGAGCUGCAGUGCUGUGCUCACCUGCCUGGGGCGGGCAGAGGGGGCAGCAGCUGCUGCCUGCCCUGCUGGGAAUGGCUGCUGUGCUCCUGAAGCGCCAAUGCUGGCACUGCUGUGCUCCUGAAGCGCCAAUGCUGGCACUGCUGUGCUCCUAAAGCACCAAGGCUGGCACUGCUGUGCUCCUGAAGCACCAAGGCUGGCACUGCUGUGCUCCUGAAGCACCUGGGCAGGAGGGUGGGAGCGCUGUGGGGUCAGUGUGGGUGGGGAGGGCUCGGAUCUCUGGUGCUGAGCAGCUCUUUCUGUUCCUCUCCUGUGCUCUUCCCUGCUGGAAAACCUUCCCCGUGUGCAGCUGGGGACCAACCUGUUCCGUGAGGAGCCCCUGCCCUACCUGGUGUACCAGCCCCUGCCCUGGCAGAUCCAGUGCGUGUCCCAGAGCCGCCGCACCAGCCGGGACAGCGAGAGAGGCAGGAACUCCCGGCACAACAGCAUCUACUCGCUUUCUGGAGAGAAAGGCGACGCGAGCCCCGAUGGCAGCAAGGAGAGCAAGGUCACUGACCCAUCUGAGAGGGCAGCCAUCACCAUCCAGACCCACUUCAGGAGGUACCAGCAGCAGAAGCAGGAGAAGAAGUAGCCACAGCAGCCCCCUGCGGCCUGCCCCGUCCCUCCUGUUUGUGCGUUCUGUGUCCCAGAGGCGUUUGGGGCCGUGGUGACUGUGAGCCUGCCCCCGUACGUAGCUCCUGGUGCAGGUGUAGGUUCCCUGCCCUUUGCUGGUGCUCACAGGGAGUUCUCGGUCCUGCUCAGUCCUUCCCCAGACGGCAUCCCUUGGUGGGCCAGGGCGCCCAGGUGACAGCACACCCGGCAGCCUUGGCCAGCCCUCGGGUGAUGCUGUGAGCCCCAGCAGCUGUGGGGGUGGGAGGGGGUCUGCCUGUGCAGGCUGGCCCCUGCCCAGCUGGGGCUUGUUUCCCCCCAAGGACCCUCCCUGUGCCUCCACCUCCUCCACUCUGCCUCUGGAGCUGGGUGGAACAGUUGCCUUUGUCCCCUGCUCUGUGGGGCCAGCAGAGGGGUCAGCAGGGUGUGUGGGGCCAGCCUGGGCUGGGGCAUUGCCAGGGGAACGUGCUGCAGGCCAGGAGGGGAGCAGGAGGAGAGCUGGGAGCUGCUUUCACCUUUCCUUGGGGUGCCCUGGUUCCAGAGCAGGCACUCUGUGUCCUGAGCGUGACCCCCCUUUCCUUCCCCUGACAGCCCCCUGGCCAUGCUGGGGUUGGGUUUGGAGCCCACCCAGCCCCUGGCCUGUCCCUCUGGGGCAUUCCUGAGCUUGGCGCUUCUCUGCUGAUGGAGGGCAGAGCUGAGGGGGCUGUUCUCCUUCCCAUCCUGCUGUGGUGAAGGGCAGGGGGCUCCCUGGGAGCAGGGGGACUGCUGGAAACUCGUGCUGUGUCAAACUGUGCAGGGCCAGGGCUUGUUCCUGCUGGGGAAGGGAAGGGGGGGAUCCUUGCUGAGAUGUAGGAGGAAA